AUCAGCCUUUUGGGUGUGAUUUUGUGGAGCGUGAAGAGUUAAACGCCUUCAUGCCUGCAUACUCGUGCACUUUGGGUGUACUUGCCCGUAUGGUUGGUUAACAUCAAUUUUGGUGGUCAUAAAAUGACUGGAGGAAUGUAGCUUCGAUCUUGUAUUGAAGUGUUAUAGCCUUCGGUAGAUGUGAUGAUCGAGAUUGAGGAUUGCAACGGAUACCCUUCGGGGCUACCUGUCUGGUCUCUGAUCGUUGCUCUGGUGCCGAAAGCUUGCUUACGGUUAUCAAAGUCGAUGGUCAAUAGGUUAGAACAGGUUAAAUUUGUUAAGGAUGUUGACGUAAUGGCUUU
rnacentral:rRNA from 1 species